AUUCAGUUGACGAGUCCAAAAUAGGAUGAAACGCGCGUUCUGGAU
rnacentral:hammerhead_ribozyme from 1 species